GAUGAACGCUAGCGGCAGGCCUAAUACAUGCAAGUCGAGGGGUAAAUAUGUAGCAAUAUAUAUGAGACCGGCGCACGGGUGCGUAACACGUAUGCAACCUACCUUUUACUGGGGAAUAGCUCAGAGAAAUCUGAAUUAAUACCCCAUAACACUGCAGAAUGGCAUCAUUUUGCAUUUAAAGCUCCGGCGGUAAAAGAUGGGCAUGCGGAACAUUAGCUAGUUGGUGAGGUAAUGGCUCACCAAGGCUACGAUGUUUAGGGGGUCUGAGAGGAUGAUCCCCACACUGGUACUGAGACACGGACCAGACUCCUACGGGAGGCAGCAGUAGGGAAUAUUGGGCAAUGGACGAAAGUCUGACCCAGCCAUGCCGCGUGCAGGAUGAAUGUCCUAUGGAUUGUAAACUGCUUUUAUAUGGGAAGAAACCCCUGGAUGCGUCCGGGGCUGACGGUACCAUUUGAAUAAGGAUCGGCUAACUUCGUGCCAGCCGCCGCAGUAAGAC
rnacentral:rRNA from 1 species